CACAACUGAAUUGUCGAAAAGAUGUAAAUCCCCAACCAGUUUAUCAGGAGAGUGCACUCUAAGGAUAGAGUGAUGAUGCUGGGAGCGUGCAUCAGGAGGCGACGAUGAUAAAGAAGGCAUCGAAGACUUUGUGCUGUCUUUACGGGCUGAGCUACUACCUGCUGGUUCGUUGAAAUAAGCAGCAUCAAUUGGCGCAUCUUGGGCUUCAUGUCGUCUUUCCUUGCCAGGCAAUGAAACAGCUCCAUACUCUGCAGAAGUACCUUUUUCCCUACUUUUCCAGCUACUGAUCUUCCAAUGAACAAGCAAAAGCGCAAUAAUCCCAGUAACAAAUACAACAACACAGAUAAUCAAUGCAUAUAGAAUCCCACGCUUCAAGCCGUGUCUUGCCUCAUCUGAUUUGUCAGAACCAUUUAAUGAUUCAGAGCGAGGAAGAACGAGCAAUUCGUUCCCUGGAUGGAAAGAUGAAUCUGGGAAUUUCAGUAAAUUACUUGGAACAGAGCCAGACAGGUAGUUGUAGGAAACAUUAAAUUCGACCAGAUCAUCAGGGAGGCCAUCAGGUAUGCUACCAUUGAAAUUGUUGCUUGAUAAGUCAAUGUAUAAGAGAUUCUUAAGUUUGGUGAUUGUUCUUGGGAUUUCGCCAGUAAAGUUGUUCUGACGAAGGUUCAGCAAUGUCAACGCGCUCAAAUCACCAAUGCCCAUAGGCAGUGAGCCGUGCAAAAAAUUGCUUGAAAGAUCAACAUAGGAGAGGUUUGAAGUUUGCACAGGAAGAAUGGACAAGUCUAUAGAAGUCGAGUUCUUGGUAUCGGAAUUUCGAAGGGGGAGAGUCCCUGUAAAACUGUUGCCUGAAAGAUUAAGAAAAGUCAGCUUAACCGCUGUAAACAGAUUUCCAGGCAAAGGUCCAUGCAGCUGAUUAAUACUGAGGUCAAUGAAAAUCAGCUCUGGAUAGGUUCCAAGGACAAUUGGCAGUUCUCCUGAUAGCAAGUUGUUGGAAAUCCUCAAAGAUGUCAGCCUUAAAAACUGGGUUGUCUCAUUUGGCCAACUUCCUGUUAAUCUGUUUGAGCUCAAAUCAACCAUCUGGAGAUAAUUUCCCCAUGUUCGGGCAACUGAUAAGUUCCCAUACAGCAUGUUUCCACUCAAAUCAACUACUGAACAGCUUCCAAAUGUGAUCGGUAAAGUUCCCUGAAGAUUAUUGUGUGACAGGUUCAAGUACUUCAAGUUUGUUGAUGUCACACGUCUAAUUGGACCUGUGUAAGAAAAAAGGGGACACAGUAAAAAGAAGCAAUCAGCAUUAUUAUUAUUAAAUGGUACACAUUGUAUAAAUGAUUAAAUAGCACACAUGCCUGUGCCAAAUUAGGCAAGAAAUGUUUUACUGAUCUAAAUUAAUUCUCAUUCAAAUGAAAAAAGUUUACGGAUCUUG